GCGCUAGUAAUCUAGCCUGGUAGGAUACUGGCUUCCCAAGCCAGAGGCCCGGGUCCAAAUCCCGGCUGGCGCA
rnacentral:tRNA from 1 species